AUUGAACGCUGGCGGCAGGCCUAACACAUGCAAGUCGAGCGGAUGAAGGGAGCUUGCUCCUGGAUUCAGCGGCGGACGGGUGAGUAAUGCCUAGGAAUCUGCCUGGUAGUGGGGGAUAACGUCCGGAAACGGGCGCUAAUACCGCAUACGUCCUGAGGGAGAAAGUGGGGGAUCUUCGGACCUCACGCUAUCAGAUGAGCCUAGGUCGGAUUAGCUAGUCGGUGGGGUAAAGGCCUACCAAGGCGACGAUCCGUAACGGGUCUGAGAGGAUGAUCAGUCACACUGGAACUGAGCCACGGUCCAGACUCCUACGGGAGGCAGCAGUGGGGAAUAUUGGACAAUGGGCGAAAGCCUGAUCCAGCCAUGCCGCGUGUGUGAAGAAGGUCUUCGGAUUGUAAAGCACUUUAAGUUGGGAGGAAGGGCAGUAAGUUAAUACCUUGCUGUUUUGACGUUACCAACAGAAUAAGCACCGGCUAACUUCGUG
rnacentral:rRNA from 1 species